rnacentral:tRNA from 1 species
GCCUGGAUGGCUCAGGUGGUUAAGCGUCUGACUUAAGCUCAGGUCAUGAUCUCAUGGUUCGUGGGUUCCAGCCCCACAUCAGGCU